rnacentral:rRNA from 2 species
CCGCGCGUGCGCAACAAUGCAGUCUGACGCAGCUCGAAAGUAGCUUGCUACUUUUGCCGGCGAGUGGCGAACGGGUGAGUAAUGUAUCGGAACGUGCCCAGUAGCGGGGGAUAACUACGCGAAAGCGUGGCUAAUACCGCAUACGCCCUACGGGGGAAAGGGGGGGAUCUUAGGACCUCUCACUAUUGGAGCGGCCGAUAUCGGAUUAGCUAGUUGGUGGGGUAAAGGCCUACCAAGGCGACGAUCCGUAGCUGGUUUGAGAGGACGACCAGCCACACUGGGACUGAGACACGGCCCAGACUCCUACGGGAGGCAGCAGUGGGGAAUUUUGGACAAUGGGGGAAACCCUGAUCCAGCCAUCCCGCGUGUGCGAUGAAGGCCUUCGGGUUGUAAAGCACUUUUGUCAGGGAAGAAAAGGUUUCGGAUAAUACCCGGAACUGAUGACGGUACCUGAAGAAUAAGCACCGGCUAACUACGUGCCAGCAGCCGCGGUAAUACGUAGGGUGCAAGCGUUAAUCGGAAUUACUGGGCGUAAAGCGUGCGCAGGCGGUUCGGAAAGAAAGAUGUGAAAUCCCAGGGCUCAACCUUGGAACUGCAUUUUUAACUACCGAACUAGAGUAUGUCAGAGGGGGGUGGAAUUCCACGUGUAGCAGUGAAAUGCGUAGAUAUGUGGAGGAACACCGAUGGCGAAGGCAGCCCCCUGGGAUAAUACUGACGCUCAUGCACGAAAGCGUGGGGAGCAAACAGGAUUAGAUACCCUGGUAGUCCACGCCCUAAACGAUGUCAACUAGCUGUUGGGCCCUUCGGGGCUUAGUAGCGCAGCUAACGCGUGAAGUUGACCGCCUGGGGAGUACGGUCGCAAGAAUUAAACUCAAGGAAUUG